AAGGGACAGGGAAGGGACACUGGGGACACACUGGGGACAGGGAAGGGACACAGGGGACAGCCAGGGGACACAGGGGACACACAGACUGUCCCCAAACGGUGCAGCUCCUCCAGGUAAGGGACACACUGGGGACACUGGGGACAGGGAAGGGACACAGGGGACACUGGGGACAGCCAGGGGACAGGGAAGGGACAGGGAGGGGACUCAGGGGACACCGGGACAGCCAGGGGACACAGGGGACACACAGACUGUCCCCAAACGGCGCAGCUCCUCCAGGUAAGGGACACUGGGGACACUGGGGACACUGGGGACAGACUGGGGACACAGGGGACACAGGGGACACACAGAGCAGGGACUGUCCCCAAACGGCGCAGCUCCUCCAGGUUCAUCAAGCGUCGGAAGUUCGAUGACGAGCUGGUCGAGUCCAGCCUGGCCAAGCUCCCAGUUAAUCCCAGUUCCAUCCCAGUUAACUCCAGUCCAUCCCAGUCAAUCCCAGCUCACUCCCAGUCCCUCCCAGUGCCUCCCAGUGACUCCCAGUCUGUUCCAGGUUCAUCAAGCGUCGGAA
rnacentral:lncRNA from 1 species